rnacentral:lncRNA from 1 species
AUGAAAUUAAAAAAUACAGACUAAUUUUGUAUGUUAUUUUUAUUAAUUGAUAAUACUUUUAGUUAAUCACUUUGUAAAGUCUUACAAAUGUUUAAAACAAAAGGAAAAUGCAACGACGGAUUUUUCUUUUGCAACUGAAGUAAUGAAACGCAAAAAAAAAGAAAAAUGACGUUAUGUUAUAUCAGCUGACAUACUUGAAUUCGCGCCGAAUGCAACAGUUUUAUCUUUUCAGAAUUUAUACAAUAACAACAGUAACGAAAGAAAUAUCACCGAUUUACUACCUACUAGAUCUAGAGAGUCGGAGGCUAGACAUGGAGGAGCGACUUGUUUCAGCAGUCGACAAGCUGGCUGGCUACAGCUGCUGAAGCUAAUAGCAAGGCUGCGGAUAUGCAAACAGAGUUGCUUCAGCUGCUGCUGGAGGAAGUUAGGUGAAGACCAAUAUAAGGUUAAAGAAUAGCAGCAUGACGAUUCUCAAGAACGAAGACACUAGAGAAACCUAAGUUAAAAUACUUAAGUAAAAACAUAUGUAUUCAAUAAGCUUGUAUGUAAAUAUUUAAGCUAAAGUAUAAGUACUCCAUUUAUGUUAUUUAAGUGAAGUUGUAUGAUCCUGAAACAUAUAUUUAAUUUAAAUACUUAAGU